rnacentral:rRNA from 1 species
CACGUAGGCGGAACAGAAAGUCAGAGGUGAAAUCCCAGGGCUCAACCUUGGAACUGCCUUUGAAACUCCUGUUCUUGAGGUCGAGAGAGGUGAGUGGAGUUCCGAGUGUAGAGGUGAAAUUCGUAGAUAUUCGGAGGAACACCAGUGGCGAAGGCGGCUCACUGGCUCGAUGCUGACGCUGAGGUGCGAAAGCGUGGGAGCAAACA